UACGGAGGGGGCUAGCGUUGUUCGGAAUUACUGGGCGUAAAGCGCGCGUAGGCGGACCUGCAAGUCGGGGGUGAAAGCCCGAGGCUCAACCUCGGAACUGCCUUCGAUACUGCGGGUCUCGAGUCCGGGAGAGGUGAGUGGAAUUCCUAGUGUAGAGGUGAAAUUCGUAGAUAUUAGGAAGAACACCAGAGGCGAAAGCGGCGCUCUGGCUCGCAACUGACGCUCAGACACGACAGCAUGGGGAGCGAACGGG
rnacentral:rRNA from 1 species